rnacentral:lncRNA from 1 species
UGAAUAUUUUGGAGAGAAAGUCUAGAGAGAUAUAUAGUUUAAGACUGAUUUUUUGGAGAUUAGAAAGUCAGAGCUUAAGAGUGAAAUAGAAGUUAGUAUUGAGUGCAAAACAUUGGCUGAAACUUACACUAAGGUUUCAGAAUUAGGAACCAAAUAUAGGCUGAACUUUUCAUCAAGAAAUCACUUAGUUUUUGAGAGUUUAUAAACUGAAAGUGGGGUUUCUUUUGUGGAUGCUUUUCUUCUGCUUUGUCUGUGAUUGUCAUUUGGUACUGCUUGGUGGUGGAAUCUGCUACUGGGCUUUUCUGUUGGGUUUUGAACACUGUUUCAGUAGAGUGUCUUGGUUUUCUGUUGGUUUGAAAGUUCCUGGGUUUUCCUGCUUGGUUUUAAAUCUUUCCUGGAACUUCUGCUACUGUUUGCUACUGGUUCUGCUGUGUUGUUGAACCUGUGUUGCUGUGUCGCUUCUUACAUUACU